rnacentral:tRNA from 2 species
AAGUAAGAAGCAAAUAUUUGCAGUCAGUUUCGACCUGACCUUAUGGUAAUAAUUUUACCCUUACUUU